rnacentral:rRNA from 1 species
GGCUGGAGCAGGUCCCAAGGGUUCGGCUGUUCGCCGAUUAAAGUGGUACGUGAGCUGGGUUUAGAACGUCGUGAGACAGUUCGGUCCCUAUCUACCGUGGGUGUUGGAAACUUGUGAGGCGCUGUCCCUAGUACGAGAGGACCGGGAUGGACGCUCCUCUGGUGGACCGGUUGUCGCGCCAGCGGCAUAGCCGGGUAGCUAAGAGCGGACGGGAUAAUCGCUGAAAGCAUCUAAGCGAGAAGCCCUCCUCGAAACCAGGUUUCCCUUGAGAGCCGUGGAAGACGACCACGUUGAUAGGCCGGGUGUGGAAGCGCAGUAAUGUGUGAAGCUAACCGGUCCUAAUAGCUCGAUCAGACUUGA